GCGGCGUGCCUAAUACAUGCAAGUCGAGCGCAGGAAGUCAUCCGAACCCUUCGGGGGGACGUUGACGGAAUGAGCGGCGGACGGGUGAGUAACACGUAAAGAACCUGCCCUCAGGUCUGGGAUAACCACGAGAAAUCGGGGCUAAUACCGGAUGGGUCAUCGGACCGCAUGGUCCGAGGAUGAAAGGCGCUCCGGCGUCGCCUGGGGAUGGCUUUGCGGUGCAUUAGCUAGUUGGUGGGGUAACGGCCCACCAAGGCGACGAUGCAUAGCCGACCUGAGAGGGUGAUCGGCCACACUGGGACUGAGACACGGCCCAGACUCCUACGGGAGGCAGCAGUAGGGAAUCUUCCACAAUGGACGAAAGUCUGAUGGAGCAACGCCGCGUGAACGAUGAAGGCCCUCGGGUCGUAAAGUUCUGUUGUAAGGGAAGAACAAGUGCCGCAGGCAAUGGCGGCACCUUGACGGUACCUUGCGAGAAAGCCACGGCUAACUACGUGCCAGCAGCCGCGGUAAUACGUAGGUGGCAAGCGUUGUCCGGAAUUAUUGGGCGUAAGGCGCGCGCAGGCGGCCUCUUAAGUCUGAUGUGAAAGCCCCCGGCUCAACCGGGGAGGGCCAUUGGAAACUGGGAGGCUUGAGUAUAGGAGAGAAGAGUGGAAUUCCACGUGUAGCGGUGAAAUGCGUAGAGAUGUGGAGGAACACCAGUGGCGAAGGCGACUCUUUGGCCUAUAACUGACGCUGANGCGCGAAAGCGUGGGGAGCAAACAGGAUUAGAUACCCUGNUAGUCCACGCCGUAAACGAUGAGUGCUAGGUGUUGGANGGUUUCCGCCCUUCAGUGCUGAAGCUAACGCAUUAAGCACUCCGCCUGGGGAGUANGGUCGCAAGGCUGAAACUCANNGAAUUGANGGGANCCGCACAAGCGG
rnacentral:rRNA from 1 species